AUGCAUUUUCUCAGGAUUCUGUUGCAGACUGCAAAAGAACAUCGUGAUAUUGUUAUUGUAUUUAUUCAUCAUAUUUGGUGGUCAGUGUUAACGCUGUUGUUCAGUGUGCAGGAGGUUUUUGUACAGCCGCUUAAUGGGUUUGUAUCACUGUGGUGGACUUUUGGUGGAGGCACAAGACUCUCAGUUGGAACUAACGCUCAGCCGACUCUAACGGUCCUGUCACCCUCCAGAGAUGAGUUGAAUCAGGGUAAAGCUACAGUCAUGUGUGUGGCCAGUAAGGGAUUCCCCUCUGACUGGAAGUUGAGCUGGAAGGUGGAUGGUAACAGCAGGAGCUCUGGUGUGAAUCUGAGUCCAGGUGUCCUGCAGAAGGAUGGACUGUACAGCUGGAGCAGCAGUCUGAGUCUCACUAACAGUGAAUGGAGCUCAGCAAAAACCAUCAGCUGUGAGGCCACACAGAGCUCUCAGAAUCCAGUCUCCAAAAUCCUCAACACGCAGGAGUGUGAUAUACAAUGAAAGCAGACACACAAACCGACACGCCAAAAUCUUAUUAAAAAUUAACAUUCUUGUCUUUUGGUUUGCAGAAGCCCUCUUGCUUUUUAAAUGUUUGUAGUGCAUGAAAGCAGGCUUGAAUGAUUCGCUGAUUCCUAUUGCAAAAAUAAAAGUAUUUUUACUUUAA